GACGGAGGGCGCAAGCGUUGUUCGGAAUUACUGGGCGUAAAGCGCGGGCAGGCGGUCUGUUAAGUCGUUUGUGAAAAUCCGGGGCUCAACCCCGGAAAUGCAUACGAUACUGGCAGGCUGGAGACUGGUAGAGGCUAGCGGAAUUCCUGGUGUAGCGGUGGAAUGCGUAGAUAUCAGGAAGAACACCUGUGGCGAAGGCGGCUAGCUGGGCCAGUUCUGACGCUCAUCCGCGAAAGCGUGGGGAGCAAACAGG
rnacentral:rRNA from 1 species